UAUCACCAGAAGUCAUUUUUAUUAAGUAGCUCUUACCAUUUUAAAAUUAUUUUUUUGACGUGUUGAUAUAUAUUUUAUCUUAAUAAAAAAGAUAUUGCGCAAUUAACAAAUUAAUAUUUUAGUUCAAAAAAAAUCCUUCUUUGCGGAAACAUGGUGUCCACUAACAUAAAUAAAAAAACAACGGAUAUGGCAGGAAUAGCGUACAAAGCUGCCACACGUGAUUAUUACGUCAAGCCGUUAAUAGACUACAGAACUAUUAAAUCGGUUGAAGGUCCUUUGGUAAUUUUGGACAAAAUAAAAUUUCCCAUGUACAAUGAAAUUGUUUCUAUUUCAAUGGAAAAUGGAACCACGCGGCAAGGUCAAGUUUUGGAAGUUUAUGGAGAUCGAGCAGUAGUGCAGGUUUUUGAAGGGACAAGUGGUAUUGAUAACAAAUCUUGCCAUGCGACCUUUACAGGAGAUAUAAUGAAAAUGCCUAUCUCAGAAGAUAUGCUGGGAAGAACAUUUAACGGCUCAGGACAACCCAUCGAUAAAGGACCUCAAAUUCUUGCAGAAGAAUAUUUGGACAUCAAUGGCUCAUCAAUUAAUCCAGCUUUUAGAACGUAUCCGAAAGAAAUGAUUCAAACGGGGAUAUCAGUCAUUGACACAAUGAGUUCUAUAGUCCGUGGGCAAAAAAUUCCUUUGUUUUCAUCAGCUGGUUUGCCUCAUAAUGAAAUAGGAGCCCAAAUUACGCGACAAGCUGGGCUUGUGGCUGGAAAAGAUAUUUUGGAUCACUCGGAUGAAAAUUUCUCGAUUGUGUUUGGUGCUAUGGGAGUCAAUAUGGAAACGGCUCGUUUUUUUCGUCAAGAUUUCCAAGAAAACGGCUCCAUGGAACGCGUUGUUCUUUUCAUGAAUUUAGCCAAUGAUCCGACAGUUGAAAGAAUUAUCACGCCUCGUAUGGCUCUGACAACGGCAGAGUUUCUUGCUUACGAACGCGAUCUUCAUGUUUUCGUAAUUCUGACGGAUAUGUCAUCUUAUGCUGACGCUCUUCGAGAGGUGUCUGCGGCUCGUGAAGAGGUUCCGGGACGACGUGGAUAUCCUGGCUAUAUGUAUACUGAUUUAGCAACAAUUUAUGAACGUGCUGGACGAGUUGAAGGACGAAAUGGAUCGAUUACACAAUUUCCCAUUUUAACUAUGCCAAAUGAUGAUAUUACUCACCCGAUACCUGAUCUUACAGGAUAUAUUACAGAGGGACAAAUUUUCGUUGACCGUGGUUUGCAUAAUCGACAGAUUUAUCCUCCCAUUAAUGUUCUACCGUCUUUAAGUCGGUUAAUGAAAUCAGGAAUUGGCAAACAUUUUACUCGUGAAGAUCAUCCUAUGGUGUCGGAUCAACUGUAUGCAAAUUACGCUAUAGGAAUGGACACACAAGCCAUGAAGGCUGUUGUUGGUGAAGAUGCUUUGACGCCUGACGAUCAGCUUUAUUUAGAGUUCACUCGAAAAUUUGAAAGUCGUUUGUUAUCACAGGGUUUAUACGAGUCGCGCAGUAUAUUCCAGUCUCUUGACAUUGCCUGGGAGUUACUCCGAACCUUUCCUGAAAAUAUGCUGAAGAAGAUAAAGAAAGACAUAUUGCAAAAAUAUUAUCCACGUGAUGUAUAUCUCAAACAACAAGAGGAGAACUAUGGAGAAUCCUAAUCCUUACCAUAUUAGUAACCUGUGUAGAAGCGUGAACUAUUAAAGGAAGCUUUUUCACACACACACACACAUAUAUAUAUAUAUAUAAUUUUUAAAGUUAACAUUGCAUUAUUCAGAAUGACUCAAAACUUAAUUUUUUUGUUGUGUAAUAAAGUGCAAUGUUGACGAAGGUCUAGGGAAAAUACAAUUGUUGCAUUAUGAGCAUAUGCACCUUAUUUCGUCAAUUUGUGACUUCAAAACAACUCCUAAAAUGUAGUAUUAAAACGUUGAAAUUUCAAGCGCCAAAAUGGUUCACCGGAAGAACAAUGAUUCGUACUAUAUCUACAAAUACAUCACUGAAAAGAAAAGCAGAGGUCACAAUGUUACCGAAUGGUAUACGCGUUGCAAGUUACUGGCAUCCAAAUGAAAUGGCUACUGUAGGCGUAUUUAUCGAUAGCGGGAGUGCAAGUGAAACAGUUGAAACAAACGGCUCCGCUCACUUCUUAGAGC